AGCAGUAGCGCGGUAAUACGAAGGGUGCAAGCGUUAAUCGGAAUUACUGGGCGUAAAGCGUGCGUAGGCGGUGAGUUAAGACAGAUGUGAAAUCCCCGGGCUCAACCUGGGAACUGCAUUUGUGACUGGCAAGCUAGAGUCUGGCAGAGGGGGGUGGAAUUCCGCGUGUAGCAGUGAAAUGCGUAGAUAUGCGGAGGAACACCGAUGGCGAAGGCAGCCCCCUGGGCCUACACUGACGCUCAUGCACGAAAGCGUGGGGAGCAAACAGGAUUAGAUACCCCCGUAGUCCCUGUCUCUUAUACA
rnacentral:rRNA from 1 species